AGUCACACAAGGCUAGUGGCUACUGUGUCGGUGGUAAUGCUCUAGAGAGAAAUAGCGUAUGCGCCUGUGGCACUGGAAAGAGGUUCUUUCAUUUUCUUAUGGGUACAACUUCAUCCCCUGGAAAUUCUCUGCAAAUUGUGUGGCUGCUUGGCAACUUGGAGAAGUCCCUCUCCAAGGCCACCUUUGGCUUUGAGCUUUGACCUGGUGACAUUGCUGAGGUAGAGGAAAGGUGAGAAAUAUUCCUCUGAAGCAGAGAACACCCUCCCCGUCAGCCUUUGCCACUCGGCAUGGGAGGCCUGAGGCGAUGAGCAGGCAAGGCGCUGGGUCCUCAGUGCAGGGCCUCCCCCGUGCUCAUUGGCUGCCUUCCCACUGCUGACUCUGUCCCUCUGGACUGUCUCUUGCAGAAAUUCCUGCUGCUCAUGGCCAGCACCUCGGCCUGCUACAAGCUCUUCCGAGAGAAGCAGAAGGACGGCCAUGGAGAGGCCAUCAUGUUCAAAGGCUUGGGUGGGAUGAGCAGCAAGCGAAUCACCAUCAACAAGAUUCUGUCCAAUGAGAGCCUCGUGCAGGAGAACCUGUACUUCCAGCGCUGCCUGGACUGGAACCGUGACAUCCUCAAGAAGGAGCUGGGACUGACAGAGCAGGACAUCAUUGACCUGCCCGCUCUGUUCAAGAUGGACGAGGACCACCGCGCCAGAGCCUUCUUCCCAAACAUGGUGAACAUGAUCGUGCUGGACAAGGACCUGGGCAUCCCCAAGCCGUUCGGGCCACAGGUUGAGGAGGAAUGCUGCCUGGAGAUGCACGUGCGCGGCCUCCUGGAGCCCCUGGGCCUCGAAUGCACCUUCAUCGAUGACAUUUCUGCCUACCACAAAUUUCUGGGGGAAGUCCACUGUGGCACCAACGUCCGCAGGAAGCCCUUCACCUUCAAAUGGUGGCACAUGGUGCCCUGACCUGCCAGGGGCCCUGGUGUUUGCCUCCUUCCCUUAGUUCUCCAGACCCUCCCUCACACGCCCAGAGCCUUCUGCUGACAUGGACUGGACAGCCCCGCUGGGAGACCUUUGGGACGUGGGGUGGAAUUUGGGAUAUCUGUGCCUUGCCCUCCCUGAGAGGGGCCUCAGUGUCCUCUGAAGCCAUCCCCAGUGAGCCUCGACUCUGUCCCUGCUGAAAAUAGCUGGGCCAGUGUCUCUAUAGCCCUGACAUAAGGAACAGAACACAACAAAACACAGCAAACCAUGUGCCCAGACUGCUCCCCAAAGAAUUUUGAGUCUCUAAUCUGACACUGAAUGAGGGGAGAAGGGAAGGAGAUUCUGGGAUCGCCAGUUCUUCCAGCAGCCAUGCUCUGAAAAUCAAGGUAGAAUCCAUGGAAAGGGACCCCAGGACCCCGGGACCCUAGACGUAUCUUGAACUGCCAUCGUCAUUUCAAAUACAUCUCCCUCAGGGUUUCCAGGUGGUCACCCCCAAUUAUUCAUUCCUUACCAACCUCUCAAGUCCUCUUGGCUUUCUCUCUGCAGUGUGGACACUGUUGGCUAGUCCUCUCCACUCCCUGAGGGUCCAGUAAGUUAGCUUAGAACCUUCCUGGAAACAUUUCAUCUGAGCAGGUUUCCCCACAUGUAGGAUUCUCCUUUUGCCUCAUCUGUCUCAGGGAUGCAGGCUCCCCCACAUGCAUGAGGAUUUCUCCCCAGACCAGCAUACUUGUGACCUGAGAGUUCAAUGUGUAAAGAUGCCCCUGGUCAGCCAUAUCCAUCUUCUCUUGCCUGGUCCUUGAUUCUCUGGCCGCUCCCUGACCUUCCUCCUCCCACUGCCUUCACUUUCUUCCUUUUUAUUCCUGGUGCCAUCUGUCCAGGCAGCUAGACAAGAACUUGUUCACCAGCAGCCAGAUUCAGGCCUUCCCCGGGGCAUAAUAAGUGACCAGCCCCUCCUCUCCGGACAUCAGAUCCAACACAUCAGGACCCUGGCCUGCCCUCCAGCCCAACAGCCAGUUCUGGGUCAGCUGCCAACUUGGGGGUGGUUUGAUUAUCCCAUUGAAAUUCACCAGUGCAUUUGCCAAAGACCCUCUCAUUUGGACAUACCCAGAUUCAUGCCCUGGCUCCAACUGAAAAGACUCAGUUUCCAUCUUUAAAAGUUCCUUCAGGGCCAGAAGAAUAAAUGAAUUAUAACCCCAUUUUGAAGAGCCAAUUUAUAACCAAUGAAAAGGUUAUAAUGUAAUUUAUAUUCUUGGAGGAACAAGAUUUUCAUUUGGGAUUAUUUCCUUCAACCAUUCAACAAACAUUUGUUGUAUGCCACCAAGCGCCAGGCACGGCGCUGGGCUCUGCAAACACAGUGGUUAGUAGCAGUCUGGACCUGGUCCCUACUGGCAUGGAACCCAUCACUCCCCAACAUGCAAAGCCCACAUUU
rnacentral:sRNA from 1 species